rnacentral:rRNA from 1 species
UACGUAGGGUGCAAGCGUUAAUCGGAAUUACUGGGCGUAAAGCGUGCGCAGGCGGUUCGCUAAGACCGAUGUGAAAUCCCCGGGCUUAACCUGGGAAUGGCAUUUGGGACUGCAAGGCUUGAGUGCGGCAGAGGAGACUGGAAUUCCUGGUGUAGCAGUGAAAUGCGUAGAUAUCAGGAAGAACACCCGUGGCGAAGGCGGCUCUCUGGAACGCAACUGACGCUGAGACGCGAAAGCGUGGGGAGCAAACAGG